rnacentral:lncRNA from 1 species
CAAGCCCGGAGUGUCCCCGGCUCCGCCCACUCGCGUCUCCGCCCGGACCUGCGACGGUCCCGCCCCCUUGACGGGGCCGCGCGGGCGAGUUCCAUGCCUGUCCAGCGCUGAGAGCUGCCGGCCAACUUCGCGGUCUCCACGUCGCGCUUAACGUGGCAGCAGCACGCACUUCCAGCAUCUUUUUUUAGACAGCAUCUUUUUCAGCCUCGCUCUGUCGCCGAGGCUGGAGGGCAGUGGCGCGAUCUAGGCUCACUGCAGCCUUGACCUCCCGGGUUCAAGCGAUCCUCCUGCCUCAGCCUCCGGAGUAGCUGGGACCACAGGCGCGCGCCGCCACGCCCGGCUGGUGCGUGGCGGCGGCAGUGAGAAUGAGUUCUUCGAGAUCGCCGGGAGACCACACAAUAACGACGAAGUUACUUGCCGGGCUACCCGCCGAGACUUGAAAACUUCGCGGCGACUUCUCUCGCCGGCCUUAGCAUCGCCCCCAUUUUUCAGGCCCCCACUGGUCGCGUCCGGCGCUGGAGGAGCCCAGUCAGCCGGCGCCUGCCGGGUUAGCACGUGGACUCCGAGGGGCCAACUAUCAGCUUUCCCUGACAAAAUGCCUUUGAGCUCCCCCACAGCUCUGAAACUCCAGCUUGGGAGCAGGGAGAGUGCAAUCUGUGACCUGUAAAGGGGCGCUGGGCAAAAGGGCCCGAGAGAAGGCGUCCUUUCCAUUCCCUUCCCAUCUCAAGCUGAGUUCAGAAAUGACACGAAAUAAUUUAAUCAACUAUCAGUCAAGGUCGGGCUCACGCCUGUAAUCCCAGCAGUUUGGGAGGCCGAGGUGGGCGGAUCACCUGAGGACAGGAGUUCGAGACCAGCCUGACCAACAUGACGAAGCCCCGUCUCUACUAAAAAUACAAAAAUUAGCCAGCGGUGGUGGUGCGCACCUGUAGUCUCAGCUACUUGGGAGGCUGAGGCCAGAGAAUCGCUUGAGCCCGCGAGGUCGAGGCUGCAGUGAGCCGAGAUCACACCACUGCACUCCAACCUGGAUGACAGAGGGAGACUCUGUCUCAAAAAAUAAUAAAUAAAUAAAUAAAUAAAUAAACUAUCGGUCAAGGUGAAAGCCUACUCUCCGCCAAGGUUCUUUACAACUUAGACGUUUUGGUUUACGGAACAGGGGAGGAAACUGAGGGCUCUUGUGUGUAGUGACUUUACUCGUGUGGAGGAGAACCCAGACUUUCCCUGCACACACUCUCCCGUUUUAUGGAUGAGAAAAGGGGGGCCCCAAAGGUCAAAUCGCCCCAAGGUCACUCAAAUGAAA